rnacentral:rRNA from 1 species
UAGGGAAUCUUCCACAAUGGACGCAAGUCUGAUGGAGCAACGCCGCGUGAGUGAAGAAGGCUUUCGGGUCGUAAAACUCUGUUAUUGAAGAAGAACGUGUGUGACAGUAACUGGUCAUGCAGUGACGGUAUUCAAUCAGAAAGUCACGGCUAACUACGUGCCAGCAGCCGCGGUAAUACGUAGGUGGCAAGCGUUGUCCGGAUUUAUUGGGCGUAAAGCGAGUGCAGGCGGUCUUUUAAGUCUGAUGUGAAAGCCUUCGGCUUAACCGAAGAAGGGCAUCGGAAACUGGGAGACUUGAGUGCAGAAGAGGAGAGUGGAACUCCAUGUGUAGCGGUGAAAUGCGUAGAUAUAUGGAAGAACACCAGUGGCGAAGGCGGCUCUCUGGUCUGUAACUGACGCUGAGGCUCGAAAGCGUGGGUAGCAAAC